AUUGAACGCUGGCGGCAGGCCUAACACAUGCAAGUCGAGCGGACGAAGGGAGCUUGCUCCUGGAUUCAGCGGCGGACGGGUGAGUAAUGCCCAGGAAUCUGCCUGGUAGUUGGGGAUAACGUCCGGAAACGGGCGCUAAUACCGCAUACGACCAGAGGGAGAAAGUGGGGGAUCUUCGGACCUCACGCUAUCAGAUGAGCCUAGGUCGGAUUAGCUAGUUGGUGGGGUAAAGGCCUACCAAGGCGACGAUCCGUAACUGGUCUGAGAGGAUGAUCAGUCACACUGGAACUGAGACACGGUCCAGACUCCUACGGGAGGCAGCAGUGGGGAAUAUUGGACAAUGGGCGAAAGCCUGAUCCAGCCAUGCCGCGUGUGUGAAGAAGGUCUUCGGAUUGUAAAGCACUUUAAGUUGGGAGGAAGGGCAGUAAGUUAAUACCUUGCUGUUUUGACGUUACCAACAGAAUAAGCACCGGCUAACUUCGUG
rnacentral:rRNA from 1 species